rnacentral:rRNA from 1 species
CCAAAAGUAUCGGUAGGGGAGCAUUCCAUGUGCGUUGAAUGGUGUAAGUGAUUUAUCCUGGAGCGCAUGGAAAAGCAAAUGUAGGUAUAAGUAACGUUAAAAAGGGUGAGAUUCCCUUUCGCUGUAAGACUAAGGUUUCCCGGGCAAUGUCAAUCAGCCCGGGGUCAGUCGGGUCCUAAGCCUCAGCCGAACGGCGAGGGCGAUGGCAGAUACGGUUAAUAUUCCGUGACUACCUUAAGGAGCGAUGUGGAGACGGAGUCGUGAAACUUCCGCGGACCGACGGAAUGGUCCGUUAAAGAGUGUAGAUGUUGAAUCCGGCAGGCAAAUCCGCCGGACGAGUCGAACUUGAGAGUACAGGCUACCCUUCGGGGCGGCUUGACAGUGAAGGUAAGCAUACUCCCGAGAAAAUCCGCUAAGCAUAUCUUUAGGGUACCCGUACCGCAAACGGACACACGUAGUCGGGUAGAACAUACUAAGGCGUUGAGAGAUUCAUGGUUAAGGAACUAGGCAAACUGACCCCGUAACUUCGGGAUAAGGGGUCCUCGUCGCAAGGCGAGGCGCAGAGAAUAGGUCCAGGCAACUGUUUAACAAAGACACAGGGCUGUGCUAACUCGAAAGAUGAAGUAUACGGCCUGACACCUGCCCGGUGCCGGAAGGUUAAGAGGAGAUGUCACCGCAAGGGAAGCAUUGAAUUGAAGCCCCGGUAAACGGCGGCCGUAACGAUAACGGUCCUAAGGUAGCGAAAUUCCUUGUCGGGUAAGUUCCGACCUGCACGAAUGGUGUAAUGAUCCGGACGCUGUCUCAACCAUGAGCUCAGUGAAAUUGUAGUAUCGGUGAAGAUGCCGAUUACCCGCGAUGGGACGAAAAGACCCCGUGAACCUUUACUACAGCUUAGCAUUGACCUUGGUCAUCCGAUGUGUAGGAUAGGCCGGAGGCUUCGAAGCGGGUGCGCCAGCAUUCGUGGAGCCAUCCUUGAAAUACGGCCCUUUGUAUGUCUGAGGUCUAACGCGCUUUGCGCGGACACUGUUUGGUGGGUAGUUUGACUGGGGUGGUCGCCUCCAAAAGCGUAACGGAGGCUUCCAAAGGUGCCCUCGGGCCGAUUGGUAACCGGCCUUAUAGAGUGCAAUGGCAUAAGGGCGCUUGACUGGGAGGCAGACAUGCCGAGCAGGCAGGAAACUGGGGCAUAGUGAUCCGGCGGAUGUGUAUGGAAACUCCGUCGCUCAAAGGAUAAAAGGUACUCCGGGGAUAACAGGCUGAUCCCCCCCAAGAGCUCAUAUCGACGGGGUGGUUUGGCACCUCGAUGUCGGCUCGUCACAUCCUGGGGCUGGAGAAGGUCCCAAGGGUUGGGCUGUUCGCCCAUUAAAGUGGCACGCGAGCUGGGUUCAGAACGUCGUGAGACAGUUCGGUCUCUAUCUAUCGUGGGCGUUGGAGUUUUGCGUGGUGCCGUCACUAGUACGAGAGGACCGUGAUGGACAGACCUCCGGUUUACCAGUUGUGCCGCCAGGUGCACCGCUGGGUAUCUGAGUCUGGAAUGGAUAAGCGCUGAAAGCAUCUAAGUGCGAAGCCAGCCGCAAGAUGAGAGCUCCUCAUAAGGGUCGUUGUAGACGACAACGUUGAUAGGGUGCAGGUGUAAAGACGGUGACGUCAAAGCCGAGCACUACUAAUUGCCC